CAAAAAUGUGUAAAGGAGUGGAGAUGUGAACAGGAAGGUGUAGACAGGUUGGAGAUGUGAACAGGAAGGUAUAAAGGAGUGGGGAUGUGAACAGGAAGGUGUAGACAGAUUAGGGAUGUGAACAGGAAGGUGUAAAGGAGUGGGGAUGUGAACAGGAAGGUGCAGACAGGUUGGAGAUGUGAACAGGAAGGUGUAAAGGAGUGGGGAUGUGAACAGAAAGGUGCAGACAGGUUGGAGAUGUGAACAGGAAGGUGUAAAGGAGUGGGGAUGUGAACAGGAAGGUGUAGACAGGUUGGAGAUGUGAACAAGAAGGUGUAAAGGAGUGGGGAUGUGAACAUGAAGGUGCAGACAGGGUGGGGAUGUAAACA